AGCAGCCGCGGUAAUUCCAGCUCCAAUAGCGUAUAUUAAAGUUGUUGCAGUUAAAAAGCUCGUAGUUGAAUUUCGGGGUUCUACCGUUGGUCGGGCAAUUGUCUGUACUGGCGUGUGGAAUUUCUACCUUCUGGGGAACCAUCAUGUUAUUAAUUUAGCGUGGUGGGAAACCAGGACCUUUACCUUGAAAAAAUUAGAGUGUUCAAAGCAGGCUUACGUCUGAAUACAUUAGCAUGGAAUAAUAAAAUAGGACGGUGGUCCUGUUUUGUUGGUUUCUGAAUCACCGUAAUGAUUAAUAGGGAUAGUUGGGGGCAUUAGUAUUCAAUUGUCAGAGGUGAAAUUCUUGGAUUUAUUGAAGACUAAACUUCUGCGAAAGCAUUUGCCAAGGAUGUUUUUCAUUAAUCUAAGAACGAAAGUUAGGGGGAUCGAAGACGAUCAGAUACCGUCGUAGUCUUAACCAUAAACUAUGCCGACUAGGGAUCGGACGAUGUUAAUUUUUCUUGACUCGUUCGCGCCUUCG
rnacentral:rRNA from 1 species